UGAAAUAAAUUAUAUAGAAUUUCUAACUCUAUUAAUUGAUUUAAUUAUCAUUAUUUCUA
rnacentral:tRNA from 1 species